UACGUAGGGUGCAAGCGUUGCCCGGAUUUAUUGGGCGUAAAGGGCGCGUAGGCGGCUCGGCACGUCCGUUGUGAAAUCGCCCGGCUCAACUGGGCGGGGUCAGCGAAUACGGCCGAGCUUGAGCAAGCUAGGGGGCAAUGGAAUUCCCGGUGUAGUGGUGGAAUGCGUAGAUAUCGGGAGGAACACCAGUGGCGAAGGCGGCUCACUGGCCCGGUACUGACGCUGAGGUGCGAAAGCGUGGGGAGCAAACAGG
rnacentral:rRNA from 1 species